CCUACGGGAGGCAGCAGUGGGGAAUAUUGCGCAAUGGGCGAAAGCCUGACGCAGCGACGCCGCGUGAGGGAUGAAGGUCUUCGGAUCGUAAACCUCUGUCAGCAGGGAAGAACGGUCACUGUGCUAAUCAGCAGUGAAUUGACGGUACCUGCAAAGGAAGCACCGGCUAACUCCGUGCCAGCAGCCGCGGUAAUACGGAGGGUGCGAGCGUUAAUCGGAAUUACUGGGCGUAAAGCGCUCGUAGGCGGUAUGUCAAGUCAAGGGUGAAAUCCCCGGGCUCAACGUGGGAACUGCCUUUGAAACUGGCAAACUGGAGUGUGGGAGAGGAUAGUGGAAUUCGAGGUGUAGGAGUGAAAUGCGUAGAUAUCUGGAGGAACAUCAGUGGCGAAGGCGACUAUCUGGCACAUAACUGACGCUGAGGAGCGAAAGCGUGGGUAGCAAACAGGAUUAGAUACCCUAGUAGUC
rnacentral:rRNA from 1 species